rnacentral:rRNA from 1 species
GGUUGAUCCUGCCAGUAGUCAUAUGCUUGUUUUAAAGAUUAAGCCAUGCAUGUGUAAGUAUACGGCAUUUUAGCCGGAAACAGCGGACGGCUCCGUAUUAUCAGUCAUUAUCUACUUGAUUAUAGAAUUCUAUUUGGAUAACUAUAGAAAAGCUAUGGCUAAUACAUGCAAAAGGUUCCGAUGAAUGUAAAAAGUUUAAAGGAAUGUAUUUAUUAGGUUCAAAAUCAAUGGUGUGUAGAAAUAUGCAUCUUAAAAAUGAUGAUUCAUAGUAACUAGACGAAGCGCAAGGAGA